GGCCUGCUAUGGUGUUUUGAGAUUUGUCAUGAAAACUGGUACCAAGGGUUGCAAGAGAUUGGUUUGUUUAUGUUGUGUCAAGGUUGGGUGUUGUUCCUUAGCUUGCUGGGUACAGCACUUUUGUUCGAGCGUUUAGGAUAUGCCACUGAGUGAAGGAGCCAAAGGAAUAGAAACCCUGCGAUGAUGAGGCGCCUGAGAUAAUGCUAUGGGAAGCAAUUGGAUGGCUUAGAUUUCCGCUCUUUCGGAAUACCCAUUCGACGUGAUUGAGUAUGCUAAAACCAGGACCUAGAGGUGUGAUCGCGAUCUAGGUUCAACUGGAUCAGCUGUUACUUCUACUACUACAACUUUGUCAAGAGGAGGUCAUGGCAGAGCUGCACUUAGUACCAGUUUAGGUGAGCUAAGGUGAUCC